rnacentral:rRNA from 1 species
CGCGUAUACAAUCUACCUAUUACUGGAGUAUAGCCCGAAGAAAUUUGGAUUAAUCCUCCAUAGUAUUAUGGAAUGGCAUCAUUUUAUAAUUAAAACUACGGUGGUAAUAGAUGAGUAUGCGUCCUAUUAGUUUGUUGGUAAGGUAACGGCUUACCAAGGCAUCGAUAGGUAGGGGUCCUGAGAGGGAGAUCCCCCACACUGGUACUGAGACACGGACCAGACUCCUACGGGAGGCAGCAGUGAGGAAUAUUGGACAAUGGAGGCAACUCUGAUCCAGCCAUGCCGCGUGCAGGAAGACUGCCCUAUGGGUUGUAAACUGCUUUUAUAGAGGAAGAAACCUCCCUACGUGUAGGGAGCUGACGGUACUCUACGAAUAAGGAUCGGCUAACUCCGUGCCAGCAGCCGCGGUAAUACGGAGGAUCCAAGCGUUAUCCGGAAUCAUUGGGUUUAAAGGGUCCGUAGGCGGGCAGUUAAGUCAGUGGUGAAAGUCUUCCGCUCAACGGGAGAAUUGCCAUUGAUACUGAUUGUCUUGAGUCAUUAUGAAGUGGUUAGAAUGAGUAGUGUAGCGGUGAAAUGCAUAGAUAUUACUCAGAAUACCGAUUGCGAAAGCAGAUCACUAAUAAUGUACUGACGCUGAUGGACGAAAGCGUAGGUAGCGAACAGGAUUAGAUACCCUGGGUAGUCUACGCCGUAAACGAUGGUUACUAGCUGUUUGGACGAUUGAGUCUGA